rnacentral:RNase_P_RNA from 1 species
CAAGUUGGCUGGGCGAUCGCGGCUUCGCUCGUUCGAGGCUGAGGAAAGUCCGCACUCCGAAGAGCACGGUGCCGGCUAACGGCCGGGCGGGUAAACCGACGGCAAGUGCAACAGAGAGGUGUAUUGCCCGCCGGAGGAUUCUCCGGCAGGUGAGGGUGAAACGGUGGUGUAAGAGACCACCGGCAGCGUCAGUAAUGGCGCUGGCCGGGCAAACCCCACCAGGAGCAAGGCCAAGCAGGGCGAAAGCUACUGCACAGCCUUAUCGGCUGAUCAGGAGCUACGGGAUUGCUCGUUCCGUCUGACGUCCGGGUAGGCUGCACGAGGCUGCCAGCAAUGACAGCCCUAGAGAGAUGAUCGCCGUUCUUAUGCAGGCUUCGCCUGCACGAAGAGCACAGAAUGCGGCUUAUAGGCCAACUUGGCAA